rnacentral:lncRNA from 1 species
GCAGUCCUCAAAGUUCAGAUGAUUCUUCCCCAAACCAUCAAAGACAGCCCUGGCUGUCUCUGAGUUCUUAUGCCCAUGAGGAUGACCUAUGAAUCCCAGAAAGAUACAGAAAUAUGUUGUGGCCAGUUUCCUGAUAGGACACACCAGUGGAUCCUAUAAUUCCAGCAGCCAGCUUGAGUCCCAUCUCCCCAGUGAAGUCUUUCAUGAACUACCCUG